rnacentral:rRNA from 1 species
CGUAGUUCGAGGUGGCGGACGGGUGACGUAACGCGUGGUAACCUGCCUUACACAGGGGGAUAACACCUGGAAACAGGUGCUAAUACCGCAUAAGCGCACAGGGCCGCAUGGCCCGGUGUGAAAAACUCCGGUGGUGUAAGAUGGACCCGCGUCUGAUUAGCUUGUUGGCGGGGUAGGGGCCCACCAAGGCGACGAUCAGUAGCCGGCCUGAGAGGGUGGACGGCCACAUUGGGACUGAGACACGGCCCAAACUCCUACGGAAGGCAGCAG